rnacentral:rRNA from 1 species
UGCAGUCGACGAACUCUUCGGAGUUAGUGGCGGACGGGUGAGUAACACGUGGGAACGUGCCUUUAGGUUCGGAAUAACUCAGGGAAACUUGUGCUAAUACCGAAUGUGCCCUUCGGGGGAAAGAUUUAUCGCCUUUAGAGCGGCCCGCGUCUGAUUAGCUAGUUGGUGAGGUAAAGGCUCACCAAGGCGACGAUCAGUAGCUGGUCUGAGAGGAUGAUCAGCCACAUUGGGACUGAGACACGGCCCAAACUCCUACGGGAGGCAGCAGUGGGGAAUCUUG